UACAGAGGGUGCAAGCGUUAAUCGGAAUUACUGGGCGUAAAGCGUGCGUAGUCGGUUAUUUAAGUCGGGCGUGAAAGCCCCGGGCUCAACCUGGGAAUUGCGUUCGAUACUGGAUAGCUAGAGUUCGGCAGAGGGAAGCGGAAUUUCUGGUGUAGCGGUGAAAUGCGUAGAUAUCAGAAGGAGCAUCAGUGGCGAAAGCGGCUUCCUGGACCAGAACUGACGAUCAGGCACGAAAGCGUGGGGAGCAAACAGG
rnacentral:rRNA from 1 species